CCUACGGGUGGCAGCAGUGAGGAAUAUUGGUCAAUGGGCGGGAGCCUGAACCAGCCAAGCCGCGUGAGGGAAGAAGGUACAGCGUAUCGUAAACCUCUUUUGUCAGGGAACAAAGGCGGGGACUAGUCCCCGGAUUCGGGUACCUGAAGAAAAAGCAUCGACUCACUCCGUUCCAGCAGCCGCGGUAAUACGGAGGAUGCGAGCGUUGUCCGGAUUUAUUGGGUUUAAAGGGUGCGCAGGCGGCCUGUUAAUGCAGCAGUACAAGCCCGGGGCUCAACCCCGGCGAGCCGUUGCAACCGGCGGGCUGGAGUUGGAGAGAAGUACGCGGAAUGCGCGGUGUAGCGGUGAAAUGCUUAGAUAGCGCGCAGAACCCCGAUUGCGAAGGCAGCGUACCGGCUCCACACUGACGCUGAGGCACGAAAGCGUGGGUAUCGAACAGGAUUAGAUACCCUUGUAGUC
rnacentral:rRNA from 1 species